ACUAAAACCCAGAAAUCGCAAGGAAAGUGGGGGAGGGAAAAACAGCAAUGGGAAGCGCGCCGGCACAGAUUCCGACGAGUUUUGGCCACGAGCUCAGGGCUCGUCUUCGUUGCCGCCUCGUCAAAACCUAAGAUCAGUGAGAAAGUCAUUAUGAAAGAUACCAAAGAUAGUUGAAGCCGGUAUUUCAUCUUUAUAUACCUUAGUUCAGAUGGUAACUGAGGAAGAACCUGCCUGACAGCACAAUCCAGGUAUCCAGCUGCCUUCAAGAAAAUAUCAAUAGAAGCUCGUCUCCUUUCUGUUUAUUGAGAGAAAAUUGAACACAUCAGGUACAUGGAAAUAGAGGUUAAAGCAAGGUCAGAAUGAAAAUCUAAAGUGAGUUGAAAGAAUCAACAUAUUUUCCGCUAAUAAGCAUUUUAAAUGUUAAAAACCAAGUGCGAAAAAGAAAAAACAAAAGCAAUAGCAUCCAGAAAGAACAAUCAGCACUGGAAUUUUCCAUUUUCCCCCCUUCAAAACUACUUACCUUCUGAUACUUUUGGUUGAUGACUAUCAGAAGUCCUUGGAAGAAGCAGUAAGUUGGCUUGUGAUAAUGAUAACACUGCCAUCAGAUGCAAUACUGACAACACUUCAUACCAAGCAUUAAACAUGGCUGUUUCCUGCUCCACCCCCCCCCCCCC